rnacentral:rRNA from 1 species
AGUAACGGCGAGUGAAGCGGCAAAAGCUCAAAUUUGARAUYUGCGUAAGCCGAGUUGUAAUUUGAAGAUGGCUACUUYGGUAAUGGCUCUUGUCUAUGUUCCUUGGAACAGGACGUCACAGAGGGUGAGAAUCCCGUGCGAUGAGAUGMCCAUYACCGUGUAAAGYGCUUUCGAAGAGUCGAGUUGUUUGGGAAUGCAGCUCUAAGUGGGUGGUAAAUUCCAUCUAAAGCUAAAUAUUGGCGAGAGACCGAUAGCGAACAAGUACAGUGAUGGAAAGAUGAAAAGAACUUUGAAAAGAGAGUGAAAAAGUACGUGAAAUUGUUGAAAGGGAAGGGCUUGAGAUCAGACUUGGUAUUUUGUAUGGCUUGCUUUCGGGCGGGUCCUCUGCAGUUUACUGGGCCAGCAUCGGUUUGGGUGGCAGGAUAAUAGCAUUGGAAUGUGGCUCUACUUCGGUGGAGUGUUAUAGCCUUUGUUGAUACUGCCUGCCUAGACCGAGGACUGCGUCUUUUGACUAGGAUGCUGGCAUAAU